GCGUUCCUAGCGGACAGUGUUAUCGAUCACGCAGUCGUGUAAUUUCGAAAUAAUUAAUCGCGACCAACCUCCAUUCUUUUCAGUUUCUCUGCGCUUGUUCUCCCCUUCUCUAUGAGUUCUGCUAUUCAGAUGAAAACACCGAAUUUCUGCAGUUAACGAUAAUUUCCGAAACAGAGAAAUCAAGUGCCGUGGAGUGAUUUCGUGGCGUUUUUUCGAUCCGUGAAAUCCUUGUCUCGUAUCGAGCGAAUAUUAAGUAAUCUCACUGUUAGCCGUUUGACCUGUCACUGCUACUGCACUCCUACUCUUCCGACAAAUUUUAGUCAUGGCGUGGAAUACAGCAAACAGAACCACGGUGUUUGUAUAUGAAGGAUCUCGAGAGCGCGCACCUUCUUCGCCGGUUUAUAGCCGCGGUCGUUCAAUGGCGGAGAUUUUAGGGCCAGUUCAAACGCAACUCGACGAAAUGAUCAAUAAUGCUGUUAAAAUUGAAAAACAGAAAGGCAUAACUUUUUCUAGUGACAUUCGCUCGACGUGUCGUGCACGUUGGUACGACUGAAAGAGAGCGAAAUCCGAUUUGAACGUUGACAAUUGACGAGCUGCGGUCAAUGGAAUUUUUUAAAUCGACAUUUAAGGAAAAACUGACUCAUAGGAUGAACGAGGUUGUUGCAUUGAAAGACUUGUUUUAGCUUUGGAUAACCUAUGUUUGGCGAUGAUGAAGUUGUACAGUAUGGAACAAUCUACUGAAUAUGAUUAUACAGGCAAUUCACUUAUUGCUUCUAUCUAGUUCACUAUUACUACCUAACUACUAAAGUAUGUUGGUUUGUACUAUUGCCCUUAAAGUACUUACAAUACGCUUUCGAAUGCUGAAUAUCAAGCUUUUUAAUUUAUGAUAUUAUUAUUUCGAGAAUACUAAUAUUCUAAUUAAUGUUAUGUAUCAAAAUAAUUUUGCGUUGAAACUCGUAUGAAUAUAUGUGUUACACAUAUGUAUAUUUUUAAGUACUACUGAUAUCAGUCGUUUAGAUAAUACUGCUAGUAAAGACUUUCAGUCUUAUGAUAACUUGGUUUAUUGUUAUAUACCGAUGUGUAUAUUAACGUAAAAGGAACUAACUGAAUGAAGAUUAUGAGCGAAGAAUGGAAAUACUUUUUUUACGCGAUCUUAUCAAAAUAUAAUGUACCUUAUGUAAAAUAUAUUCACAGAUUGGAACAUACUUGCAUAGUCAUACAUUCUGGGGUUUGAUUAUUCUGAUUAAUGUUCUGUGUUAAUCCGUUACAACCAGCAUCCGCAGUAACUGGUAACACUGGUGCAUAUUGCAUGUAAUGCGGUUGUCCAGCAACUGCAUACCAAUGUUCUUGCAUGUUCUGAGGUGGUAUACUAUAUGG